rnacentral:misc_RNA from 1 species
UGAGGUUUUGGGAGGUGGGUUUGAAGGCAAGAGGAAGGAAAGGAAGUUGGAGAGAGAAAGCGAGGUAGCCAUAGAUGGAUAGAUUGAGGGAGUCCUCGGCUAUGCUCCGGGGAUACGAGUUGUAUUUCGUUUUUCUGGUCUGGUGUGUGGCUGGCUUCUUGUUUUGGGUUGGGUUUGAUUUGGUUCGACAGGCUUUGAUGACCAAGCCCAAUUGGCCAAUUCUACUGGCAGCCCAACAAUUUGUAAAAUAGUAAUUUGUAAGCCCAAUUGGUUUGUAGUAAGG